CGCGGGGUAGAGCAGUUUGGUAGCUCGCAAGGCUCAUAACAUUGAGGUCACGGGUUCAAAUCCUGUCUUCGCAA
rfam:Spinacia oleracea cultivar SynViroflay scaffold27229.con0003.1, whole genome shotgun sequence.